UGAUUAUAUUUCCGAGCCACAGGAAUCUUGUUAUGUCCAUAUAGUCCGUGUCAGAACGGAGGUAACUGUAGACUCAACAGUGUCAGAUGCAUCUGCCCGCCUGGAUUCUACGGGCACAUCUGUCAAUACAGCCGCGACCCCUGUGCCACCUUCCGAUGCUACAAUGGAGGCCAAUGUACCGCCCCAGCUGAUGCCCCCUCCUGUGUGUGCCCACCGGCUUACACAGGGAAAAAUUGUGAAACGGAGGUGAAGUUAAAUGGAAGAUGUCCGGUGAUCAAUGAUGACAGUGUGGGGGUGUGUGGGGGAAUCUUCUGCUCAGAUGACAGCGAAUGUCCAGAUGUUCAGAUCUGCUGUGCUAGUGCUUGUGGUGGACAGCUGUGUACGAAUCCUGUUAAUUAUCACCCAAAGUGUGGGGUGUGUCCUGAUGGUCAAGAGUGUGUAAACAUAGGAUACGUGUGUGUCCGUUCAUUACCUUGCCCAGUUGAGAAAUACAUGUGCAUCAAUCCCAGGUGAAAACAUUCAACAACCUGGAGUGAACGAUCGCAUUUACGAGAUUAACCAAACUGGUUUAUAGCUUCUAUAGAACUUCAAUAAUGUUUUUUUUAAAUUGUUAGUUUUAUCUUCAAUAGUGUUAGCCAUGGUAGUAUUAUUUAAAUCAAUGAUUGAUUAACAUAUAAAUUAUGUCUAAUGUUAAUGUGCAUUUAAAAACGCAAUAUCUGAAAUGUUACGAAAAUAAACUGGUUUUGAAAUCCGA